AUGGCGACCGGGGCUUCAGGAUCGGGGGUGACCGAUCUGGAGUCCAUGAUGGAAGAGCUUGGCUUGAACGAAGGCAAUCUUCAAGAUGUGAUGGUUGAGGACGACGAUCUGCUGGAGGAAGCUAUCAGGUGGAUGGCAAUCGUCCGCGUACACACUGACAAAGCUUACAAUCGGUAUUGGUUCUACCGGAAUAUGACGGCAGCGUGGGAUCUCGCUCAAGAAGUUAAGAUCCUCCCCCUCGAGGAUAACCUAUACACCAUGUCUCAAGACUUCGAAGGCAAUUUUGUGCGUGUCCGCGUAAAGAUAAACGUCACCGAGCCGCUCAAGAAUGCAGUCUCGCUGGUCAAGAAAAAGAAAAGAGAGAUCUUUCGAGUUAAAUAUGAGAGACUGCCGGAUUGGUGCACGGUUUGCGGUCACUUGGGUCACUUGCACAAAGAAUGUGGUGAUAGCGUCCAUGACCCCAAAGCCCUAGUUUUCAGAGAUCUACGUGCCUCUUGGUUCCGCGGUCCUGGGCAGGUCUGGGGGAGGGCAAGGCAGGCCGAGGAGGCAGAGGUGCAGGUCGCAGAGGCAACUCCAGAGGAGGCCGCGGUGGACGCAGUCAGGGUCAGCGUAGUCAGAAUCAUGCAUGGGAGAUGCAGGUCGACCCAGAAUCAGCGGCUGACUUGGAGAUGUGAGAAGCAAACAUGA
rnacentral:rRNA from 1 species